rnacentral:rRNA from 1 species
UGGGGAAUCUUCCGCAAUGGACGAAAGUCUGACGGAGCAACGCCGCGUGAGUGAUGACGGCCCUCGGGUUGUAAAGCUCUGUUAAUCGGGACGAAUGGUUCUUGUGCAAAUAGUGCGAGGAUUUGACGGUACCGGAAUAGAAAGCCACGGCUAACUACGUGCCAGCAGCCGCGGUAAUACGUAGGUGGCAAGCGUUGUCCGGAAUUAUUGGGCGAAAAGCGCGCGCAGGCGGAUUGGUCAGUCUGUCUUAAAAGUUCGGGGCUUAACCCCGUGAUGGGAUGGAAACUGCCAAUCUAGAGUAUCGGAGAGGAAAGUGGAAUUCCUAGUGUAGCGGUGAAAUGCGUAGAUAUUAGGAAGAACACCAGUGGCGAAGGCGACUUUCUGGACGAAAACUGACGCUGAGGCGCGAAAGCCAGGGGAGCGAACGGG